rnacentral:lncRNA from 1 species
GAUCUGAUAAAUAUCUUUAGAGCACACAGUCAGAGGACCACAGGCACCAUCACAGAGAGAAAAACAGAGAUGCAGCUCGCAAGAAUCGCAGAAAACAGACAGAAAAGGCAGACGUGCUGCAUGAGGAACUCCAAACCCUAGAGCAGUCUAAUACCACAUUCAUAAAAGAAAUCGCUGAACUAAAGAAGGAGCUUCAAUUCUACACCACAGCCUUGGAACAACAUAUACCUCACUGCACUAAACUGUGUCCAUUUGAACCAUCAGUUAGUGUUACAGGAGGACCGUCCACAGCUACACCCUCUACCUCAGAUAUCACCUUCAACUCUGACCCCAACCUCUUGCCGGAACUUGCGUUCUUACCAGACACUAAUUCAGGGGACUUAUCUCUAACAGACCUCCUCGACAGUAGUGAUUGGUGUCCAUGGGACUCGGUGAAUGGAAAUGGGUGUCUACAGCAGUUUUGAGGUGCUGUACAGUCAGUUAUUUGGUCACAAGGCUUACACACUACUACAUCCUGCAAACAGCCCUUUUUGUUGUGUUCAAAUACUAAUGGUGCUAAAAACCAUGAUCCAUUAAAGAGGUCAUAUGAUGCGAUUUCAAGUUUUCCUUUCUCUUUGGAGUGUUACAAGCUGAUUGUGCAUAGAUAAGAUCCCUGAAGUUGCAAAGACUAAAGUCUCAAAACCAAAGAGAUAUUGUUUAUCAAAGUUAAGACUCUGCCACGCCUACCUAAAACGGCUCGUUCUAACACGCCCCCACAUAUCUACCUCACUAUGUGGAAAUAUUUGCAUAAUGCGCCCAAAUGUGCACGCAAAGAAAGAAGGCGUGGUUUCAGUAACCGCAGUUAGUGUUGAAGCAGCCAUGUCAGGGAGACGCUGUGUGUUUCUAGGCGAAAGCAAAAGCACUUUAUUUGGCCUUCCGAAAGUAGAUGCAUUUAGGAAUCUUUAAGAUGACUUGCAACAGAACAGCAAUGCAUUUUAUGGACGACCGUUUCGUGAACCUAGGAGAGGAGGUAAUUCUGACUUUGCUAUGACAAUCUGGCGCUUCUGAAUCAGCUACUGUUUUGUUAUUAGUUCAAGUAUUUGCUAUUGACUGUUCAAAUGCGGAGUUUUGCGCAUUGUGCGUGCGUGCGUGCGCGCGUGUGUGUGACAGAGAAUGAGAGAGAGAUCACAGUGGAGUCAGCUGUCUUAACCGUGGCUUGUG